AGAGUUUGAUCCUGGCUCAGAAUGAACGCUGGCAGCAUGGAUUAGGCAUGCAAGUCGAGCGCGAAUCCGGGCUUCGGCCCGGAGGAGAGCGGCGAAAGGGUGAGUAACACGUGAGCAACCUGCCCCGAAGUCUGGGAUAGCCCAUGGAAACGUGGAUUAAUACCGGGUGCGGUUCGAGAAUCGCCUGUUUUUCGGACCAAAGAUUUAUUGCUUCGGGAGGGGCUCGCGUUCCAUCAGCUUGUUGGCGAGGUAACGGCUCACCAAGGCGUUGACGGAUAGCUGGUCUGAGAGGAUGGUCAGCCACACUGGGACUGAGACACUGCCCAGACUCCUACGGGAGGCUGCAGUCGAGAAUCUUCCGCAAUGGGCGCAAGCCUGACGGAGCAAUGCUGCGUGCCGGAUGAAGGCCCUCGGGUCGUAAACGGCUGUCACUCGGGACGAAUUUUGACGGUACCGAGAGAGGAAGCCACGGCUAACUACGUGCCAGCAGCCGCGGUAAUACGUAGGUGGCGAGCGUUAUUCGGAUUUAUUGGGCGUAAAGGGUCCGUAGGGGGUUGCGCGUGUCUGAUGUGAAAGCUCGAGGCUCAACCUCGGAAUUGCAUUGGAAACUGCGCGACUAGAGUACCGGAGAGGAAAGUGGAAUUCCUGGUGUAGCGGUGGAAUGCGUAGAUAUCAGGAGGAACACCGACGGCGAAGGCAGCUUUCUGGACGGUUACUGACCCUGAGGGACGAAAGCUGGGGGAGCAAACAGGAUUAGAUACCCUGGUAGUCCCAGCUGUAAACGUUGUGCACUAGGUGUAGGCGGAUUUGGUCCCGUCUGUGCCCAAGCUAACGCGUUAAGUGCACCGCCUGGGGAGUACGGCCGCAAGGCUAAAACUCAAAGGAAUUGACGGGGGCCCGCACAAGCGGUGGAGCAUGUGGCUUAAUUCGAGGCAACGCGAAGAACCUUACCUGGGCUUGACAUAUAGCCGACCGCCCUGGAAACAGGGCUUCUCUUCGGAGCGGCUAUACAGGUGCUGCAUGGCUGUCGUCAGCUCGUGCCGUGAGGUGUUCGGUUAAGUCCGGCAACGAGCGCAACCCAUGCUGCCAGUUACCAGCGAGUGAAGUCGGGGACUUUGGCAGGACUGCCCGUGCUAAGCGGGAGGAAGGCGUGGACGACGUCAAGUCCGUAUGGCCCUUACGCCCAGGGCUGCACACGUGCUACAAUGGCCGGCACAGAGGGACGCCACCUUGCGAAAGGGAGCCAAUCCCGAAAACCGGCCCCAGUUCGGAUUGGAGUCUGCAACUCGACUCCAUGAAGUUGGAAUCGCUAGUAAAGGCGUAUCAGCAACGGCGCCUUGAAUACGUUCCCGGGCCUUGUACACACCGCCCGUCACAUCGUGGAAGCUGGCUGUACCCGAAGUCGUUGACCCAACCCGCAAGGGAGGGAGGCGCCGAAGGUGUGGCUAGUAACUGGGAUGAAGUCGUAACAAGGUA
rnacentral:rRNA from 1 species